rnacentral:rRNA from 1 species
AUUGAACGCUGGUGGCAGGCCUAACACAUGCAAGUCGAGCGGAUGAAGGGAGCUUGCUCCUGGAUUCAGCGGCGGACGGGUGAGUAAUGCCUAGGAAUCUGCCUGGUAGUGGGGGAUAACGUCCGGAAACGGGCGCUAAUACCGCAUACGUCCUGAGGGAGAAAGUGGGGGAUCUUCGGACCUCACGCUAUCAGAUGAGCUUAGGUCGGAUUAGCUAGUUGGUGGGGUAAAGGCCUACCAAGGCGACGAUCCGUAACUGGUCUGAGAGGAUGAUCAGUCACACUGGAACUGAGACACGGUCCAGACUCCUACGGGAGGCAGCAGUGGGGAAUAUUGGACAAUGGGCGAAAGCCUGAUCCAGCCAUGCCGCGUGUGUGAAGAAGGUCUUCGGAUUGUAAAGCACUUUAAGUUGGGAGGAAGGGCAGUAAGUUAAUACCUUGCUGUUUUGACGUUACCAACAGAAUAAGCACCGGCUAACUUCGUG